rnacentral:rRNA from 1 species
CCUACGGGAGGCAGCAGUCGGGAAUAUUGCGCAAUGGAGGAAACUCUGACGCAGUGACGCCGCGUGAAGGAAGAAGGCUUUCGGGUUGUAAACUUCUUUUGACAGGGAAGAGCAGUAGACGGUAUCUGCCGCAUAAGCUACGCCUAACUACGUGCGAGCAGCCGCGGUAAUACGGAGGUGGCAAGCGUGGUCCGGAGUUACUGGGUGUAAUGGGCGUGUAGCCGGGCUGGCAAGUCAGUUGUGAAAUCCGGGGGCUCAACCGCCGAACUGCAUUUGAAACUGGUAGUCUUGAGUGUUGGAGAGGCAGGCGGAAUUCCUAGUGUAGCGGUGAAAUGCGUAGAUAUUAGGAGGAACACCAGUGGCGAAGGCGACCUGCUGGACGACAACUGACGGUGAGGCGCGAAAGCGUGGGGAGCAAACAGGAUUAGAUACCCCAGUAGUC